rnacentral:rRNA from 1 species
UUAUAGAGUCAAGUAACAAAGCGCAUAUGAAGGAUGCCUUGGCAGUAGAAGGCGAUGAAAGACGUGGUAGCCUGCGAAAAGCAUCGGGGAGUUGGCAACAAACUUUGAUCCGGUGAUAUCUGAAUGGGGAAACCCAACCCGCAAGGGUUAUCUUACUUCCGAAUACAUAGGAGUAAGAAGCGAACUCGGGGAACUGAAACAUCUCAGUACCCGAAGGAAAAGACAUCAAUUGAGAUUCCGUCAGUAGCGGCGAGCGAACGCGGAACAGCCCAGUUACAGUAGAUAACAUGGUAUUUAACCAAACAACUUGGGAAGGUUGGCGAUACAGGGUGAUAGCCCCGUAGGUGAAAAAAACAUGUUAUUGGUAACGAAGAGUAAGACGGGACACGUGAAAUCCUGUUUGAAGAUGGGGGGACCAUCCUCCAAGGCUAAAUACUAACUACUGACCGAUAGUGAACAAGUACCGUGAGGGAAAGGCGAAAAGAACCCCGGGAGGGGAGUGAAAUAGAACCUGAAAUCAUAUGCGUACAAGCUGUGGGAGCAGAUUUAUUCUGUGACCGCGUACCUUUUGUAUAAUGGGUCAGCGAGUUACUUGCUGUGGCAAGCCUAACCGAAUAGGGGAGGCAUAGGGAAACCGAGUCUGAAUAGGGCGUGGCAACUUUGUUGCUGGAGUCGCAGUGAGUAGACCCGAAGCCGAGCGAUCUAUCCAUGGCCAGGAUGAAGGUACGGUAACACGUACUGGAGGUCCGAACCCACUCCCGUUGAAAAGGUAGGGGAUGAGCUGUGGAUAGGAGUGAAAGGCUAAUCAAGCUCGGAGAUAGCUGGUUCUCCUCGAAAGCUAUUGAGGUAGCGCCUUGUGUCAUCACUUCUGGGGGUAGAGCACUGUUUCGAUAAAGGGGCUGUCAUGGCUUGCUGAGUCGAUGCAAACUCCGAAUACUGGAAAGUGAAACACAGGAGACACACGGUGGGUGCUAACGUCCAUCGUGAAGAGGGAAACAACCCAGACCACCUGCUAAGGUCCUGGAAUUGACGUUAAGUGGUAAACGAUGUGGAAAGGCAUAGACAGCCAGGAGGUUGGCUUAGAAGCAGCCAUCCUUUAAAGAAAGCGUAAUAGCUCACUGGUCGAGUCGGUCUGCGCGGAAGAUGUAACGGGGCUUAAACGUCAUACCGAAGCAGUGGAUCUAGAGAUUUUAAUCUCUAGGUGGUAGAGGAGCGUUCUGUAAGCUGAUGAAGGUGAACCGAGAGGUUUGCUGGAGGUAUCAGAAGUGCGAAUGCUGACAUGAGUAACGAUAAUGCGAGUGAAAAACUUGCACGCCGAAAGUCUAAGGUUUCCCUACGCCACGUUAAUCGGCGUGGGGUGAGUCGGCCCCUAAGGCGAGGCUGAAAAGCGUAGUUGAUGGGAAACGGGUUAAUAUUCCCGUACUUAAAUAUAUUGCGAAGGGAGGACGAAGGAAGCUAAGUGAGCCAGCGAUUGGUUGUGCUGGUUUAAGCUAGUAGGAAGACAAGUUAGGUAAAUCCGAUUUGUUAAUUCUGAGAAGCAAAUACAAGCUAUUAGCAAUAAUAGUAAAGUCACUGAUGCUCAACUUCCGGGAAAAGUCUCUAAGCUAUAGAUAUAUUUAAACCGUACCGCAAUCCGACACAGGUAGACGGGUAGAGAAUACUCAGGCGCUUGAGAGAACUUAGGUGAAGGAACUAGGCAAAUUGGCACCGUAACUUCGGGAGAAGGUGCACCUUCUGUUGUGAACAUCCUGCGAUGGGAGCAACAGAAGGUUGAAAUAACCAGGUGGUUGCGACUGUUUAACAAAAACACAGCACUCUGCGAACUCGGAAGAGGAAGUAUAGGGUGUGACGCCUGCCCGGUGCUGGAAGGUUAAGUGAAGGGGUGCAAGCUCUAGAUCGAAGCCCCAGUAAACGGCGGCCGUAACUAUAACGGUCCUAAGGUAGCGAAAUUCCUUGUCGGGUAAGUUCCGACCUGCACGAAUGGCGUAACGACAGCCACACUGUCUCCACCUAAGACUCAGUGAAAUUGAAAUUGCUGUGAAGAUGCAGUGUACCCGCGGCAAGACGGAAAGACCCCGUGCACCUUUACUAUAACUUUACACUGGACUUUGAAUAUGGCUGUGUAGGAUAGGUGGGAGGCAAUGAAGUUUACUCGCUAGAGUAGAUGGAGCCACACUUGAAAUACCACCCUGUCGUGUUUGAGGUUCUAACCUACGUCCUGAAACGGGAUGAGGAACCGUGUAUGGUGGGUAGUUUGACUGGGGCGGUCUCCUCCAAAAGAGUAACGGAGGAGCACGAAGGUACCCUCAGCGCGGUCGGACAUCGCGCAUUGAGUGCAAAGGCAAAAGGGUGCUUAACUGCGAGACGUACAUGUCGAGCAGAUACGAAAGUAGGUCUUAGUGAUCCGGUGGUUCUGUAUGGAAGGGCCAUCGCUCAACGGAUAAAAGGUACGCCGGGGAUAACAGGCUGAUACCGCCCAAGAGUUCAUAU